rnacentral:lncRNA from 1 species
CGGUUGGAAAGUUCGUCCCUAACCUGAUCGUAAUAUGACCUCUGUCUCUUCUCCUCAUUGGUACUUGCUUCCCCUUGAGUCAACUUGAGACAAGUUUUAUCUUUCGUGUGACAGCCCUUGAAGUAUCUGAAGAGAGCUGCCUCCAACUUCAUCUCUAGGCUCCUCUCAUGCUCCUCAUGUCACUCCCUCAGAGCAGCCCACUUGAUGAGUUCAGCUACAAUUGACCAUCCUUUUCGGUUACUCUGUCAAUCAUCUUGUUUGUUUUCUUCAAGUGCUUUUCACAGUCAGAAGUUGUCUUGCUCAUGUAUUUAUUUUUAUUUUAUUUUUUUUGCUAUUUCUUGGGCCGCUCCCAUGGCAUAUGGAGGUUCGCAGGCUAGGGGUCCAAUCGGAGCUGUAGCUGCCGGCCUACACCAGAGCCACAGCAACGCAGGAUCCAAGCCACAUCUGUGACCUACACCACAGCUCACGGCAACGCCGGAUCCUUAACUCACUGAGCAAGGCCAGGGAUCGAACCCGCAACCUCAUGGUUCCUAGUCGGAUUCGUUAACCACUGCGCCACCACGGGAACUCCUAUUUAUUUCUUAAUUAUGGACUCUAAUAUAAGCUCUUUGAAGGCAGGGAUCGUCGUGUCUGCCUUGAUUAUUACUGAAUCUCUUGUACCUAGAACUGUGACUAGCAAGGCCUCAACAAAUACGGGUUGAUUGUUAAAUGAGUCAGUGAACAAACCUGAAUCCAGUCUUUCAACCAUUCCAUUUCUUUGGUUCAGGUAACUAAGUAGCUUUGUUCUAGACACAGCAAUGGAGAAUAAAGAAGCUAAAUUAGAGCAAGGAACACUUACUGGCCAUUUCCUUUUCUUACUCCUUUGAAUACAGUGUGGUACUGAGAGAAAAGAAAAAGUGCUGACAGGACCGAGAUUCUUAGGUGAUACCUGCUGAUAAUAUCUCACUGUCUGGCUUUGAAAAAGUCUCUCCACGUUCUGGAGCUUUGGUUUCUCAUACAGAAAACUCAGAAGGCAGACAGCUUGUUCUUGAUGGUGCCCUGGGGCUCAGAAAUUCUCUCAAUGGAAGUAGAAAUGCCAAAAAAGAAGCCCCAUAUGACUCAAAUGCACUGAAGAUGUGAUCAUCAGCAAAUGGUCAGUGGUACCCAAACUUGGAUGCACAUUUGAAUCACCCAAGAGGUAUCCUAUUAAAUCAACUUGACUGAGGUGCAAUUUAUAUGCAAUCAAGUGCACAUAAUUUAAAAUGUAGUUAGAUGAGUUUUGACAAAUGUAUACUGCCCCGUUGCAGUCAGUCCACUGUUUAACCCACUUCCCUAUUCAACCACCAGUCUGAUUUCUAUCAGCACAGAUAGUUGUGUUUAUUUUAGCACUUCACAUAUAUAUAAUCACAUAGUGUAAUAUAUACAUAUUAUCAUAAUGAUGUAGUGUUUACUCUUUUGUGUCUUGCCUCUUUUGCUCAGAAAAUUGUUGUUGAUAUUUCAUCCAUGUUGUUUCUUAUGUCAGUAGUGUUAUUUAUAUAGCUGAGUAAUUGCCCAUUCUAGAAAACUUCUUGGGGUCCCCCUCAUGGCUCAGUGGUUAACAAAUCUGACUAGGAAUCAUGAAGUUGCAGGUUUGAUCCCUGGCCUCACUCGGUGGGUUAAGGAUCCAGCGUUGCCAUGAGCUGUGGUGUAGGUCAAAGACAUGGCCCAGAUCCUGCGUUGCUGUGGCUACAGCAACAAUUAGAACCCUAGCCUGGGAACUUCCAUAUGUCGCGGGUGCAGCCCUAGAAAAGCCAAAAAGACAAAAUAUAGAAAUAGAAAAAUAGAAAACUUCUUCAGUAUCUCUGACAUCGAAGUCCAGAAGUCUCCGUAUUUAACAUGCUUUAGAAGGAAUGCGUAUGCAGAAGUUGGGCUUAGGAACCUUUUAAUUAGGGAAUUUCCCUCCUCAAGUUCAAAUAGUUCCCACACAAGGCGACUGUUUGCAUGCUGAGUAUAAGUUGGUCACAGGUUCUGUGCAGGUCCGAGAGCUCUUGUUUCUCUAGGACUCUCAGGAAGAUCCGUGGUCCUCCUGGUGCCUGUAACAAAUCCCAGGGUGAGCUCUGCAAAUAUUCUUUUAGCUCGAAGGCACCUGUGAAUUGAGUUACGAGUCUCAGUGUCCACAGGUAAGUCCAUAAUCUUCAUCUAUAAACGCUCACCUCUGUCACAGAGAAGCGGAGGUGCUGUGGGCGGCCUUGCAUUUCAGCCCAGCUGCUGGAAUUACUCAUGACAGUUUUAUGAGUUGUUUUACUGUCUGGUAAAGGUUUUUUCCUUUUUUUUUCUUAACAUAUGAGGGAAGCAUUUUUUGACCGUAGCCCACAAGCGCCACCUUCAGGAGGGAAAUAUAACAUUCUGUUAGGUCACAGGGACCCAGUUUCUUUUCCUGCAAAAAAAGUCUUAAGAUCAAGAUACAGUUUCUGUGUUCAUAAAAUUCCAUUCCAUAUUUUAAAGAGAUGGACUUUAUUUUUCAGGGCGGCUUUAGGUUCAUGGAAAAAUUAAGCAGAAUGUAGAGAGGCCUCCCAUCUAUCCUCUCUCAUUUAUGUACAAUAUUCCAUACCAGAGUAGGACAUUUGCUGCAACAGAUGAGCCUCCAUCGCUAGCUCCCACACUCCAAAGUUUAGAUUAGGUUUCACUCUUGGUGUCAUAUAUGUUAUGGGUUUGGACAAAUGAAUAAUGACAUGUAUUCACCAUUAUUAUUUCAUGUAUCAUACAGAGUAAUCGCACCAUCCAAAAAUCCCCUGUGCUCUGCUUGUAUAUCCUUCCUUCCUCUUGAACCCUUGCCAAACACUGAUCCAUUUACAAUUCCUAUAAUUUUACAGAAUGUGGAUUAUACAGUAUGUAGCCUUUUAAGACUGGCUUCUUUCACUCAGUAGUAUGAAUUUAAUGUUCCUUAAUGUCUUUUCACGGCUUGAUAGCUCAUUUCUUUUUACCUCUGAAUCAUAUGCCAUUGUUUGGAUAUAUCACAGUUUAUUUAUCCAUUCUCCUACUGAAGGGCAUCUUUGUUGCUUCCAAGCUUUGGCAAUCACAAACAAAACCAUCGUAAACAACAGCGUGUAAGGUUUUUGCAUGAACAAAUGUUUUCAACUCCUUUGGAUAAUACUAAGGAGCACCAUUGCUAGAUCGUAUGGCAAGAGUAUGUUUAGUUUUGUAAGAAAUUAUCACACUGUCUUUUACAGUAGAAGUGCCAUUUUGCAUUCCCACCAGAAUGAAUUAGAGUUCCUGUUGCUUCACAUUCUCACCAGCAUUUGGUGGUGUCAUUGUUUUGCAAUGGCAUUGUGUGGCAAUACUAAUGAGUAUGUAGUGGUAUCUCAUUGUUAUUUUAAUUUGCAAUUCCUUAAUGACAUAUGCUUAAUUAUAUGCUUAAUUUUCAUCUCUAUAUCUUCUUUAAUGAGAUGUCUACUCAAGUCUUUUGCCCACUUUUAAAACUGGGCUGUUUAUUUUCUUAUUGUUGAGUUCUCAGAGUUUGUUGGAUAUUUUGAGUGAAAUAUUUGCAAAUAUUUUCCUCCAGUCUGUAGCUUAUCUUUUCAUUCUCUUCAUGGUGGUCUUUUGCAGGCUGAAAGCUUUUAAUUUUUUUUUUUUUAGGGCCAUACCUGCAGCAUAUGGAGGUUCACAGGCUAGGGGUUACAUUGGAGCUAUAGCUGCCGGCCUAUGCCAAAGUCACAGCAACACGGGACCCAAGGAACAUCUGCAACGGACACCACAGCUCACAGCAACGCUGGAUCCUUAACCCACUGAGCAAGGCCAGGGAUCGAACCCGCAUCCUCUGGAUGCUAGCUGUGUUGCUAACUGCUGAGCCACGAUGGGAAUGCCUAAAAGCUUUUAAUUUUAAUGAAGUCCAGCUUAUCAAUUAUUCUUUCACAGAUCUUAACUUACGGUGUUAUAUCUAAAAAGUCAUCAUCAUACCCAAGCUCAUCUAGGUUUUCUCCUAUGUUAUCAUCUGGGAGUUUUAUAGUUUUACAUUUAGAUCUAUGAUCCAUUUUGAGUUAGUUUUUGUGAAAAGUAUAAGGCCUUUGUCCAGAUCCAGUAUUUUCAUGUUGAUGUCUGCUUAUUUCAGCACCAUGUGUUGCAAAGAUGAUCAUUUCUCCAUUGUAUCAUCUUGCUCCUUUGUCAAAGAUCAGUUGACUAUGUUAUGUGGGUCUAUUUCUAAACUCUCUGUUCUGUUCCAUUGAUCUAUUUGUCUCUUCUUUUGCCAAUACCACACUGUCUUGAUUACUGCACUUUUAUAGUAAAGGUUGAAAUUGGGUAGUUUGCUCUCUGAUUUUGUUCUAUAAUAUUCUGGGUCUUUUCCCUCUCCGUAUAAACUUUAGAAUCAGUUUGCCAACAUUUGCAGAAUAACUUGCUGGGAUUUUGAUCUGAAUUGUAUUAAAUCUAUAGACCAAAUUGGGAAGAGCUGACAUCUUGACAAUAUUGAGUCUCCCCAUCUAUGAACAUGUAACAUCUCUCAAUUUAUUUUGUUCUUUCAUCAGAGUUUUGUGGUUUUUCUCAUAUAGAUCUUGUAUUUUGUUACCUUUAUACCUAAGGAUUUUAUUUUUUGGAGUACUAAUGUAAAUGGUAUCGUGUCUUAAAAUUCAAGUUCCACUUGUUUAUAGGAAAGCAAUUGAUUUUUGUAUAUUAAUCUUGUAUCUUGCAACCUUGCUAACAUUGCUUAUUGGUUCCGGAGUGUUUUUGUCAGUUUCAGACUUUUUGCAUAGAUGAUCAUGUCAUCUAUGAACAAAGACAAUUUUGUUUCUUGUUUUCCAAUUUAUAUUCCGUCUGUCUCAUUGCAUUAACUAGCACUGACACAACAAUGUUGAAAAAGAGUGGUGAGAUAAGACAUUCUUGUCUUGUACCCAAUCUUAGUAGGAAAUCUUCUAGUCCCAUCAUUAAGCAUGAGAGAUGUAUUGUUUUUGCAGAUGUCCAUAAUCUGUAUGAAUAACCAUAAUUUUAAUCUGUUUUGUGUGAGUAUCGUAAGUCUUUUGAAAUAUUACUUAGAAGUGGAACAAUAGGCACUCAGGUAAUGCUGAACUAUGAAAGCAAGUUUACCAGAUAUCACUUUUAUAAAAAUGUGCUUUAAAUCAACUAGCUAAAGAAAAUCGUUCAUAAGUAGUUUCACACUAAACUCCAGAAAACAUAGGUUCCUCUGGCUGGUCUUUAGUCUAUGUGUUGUUAAAUACAUUCUUUCCUAACUGACCAUAAUUAAAUGUUAUGGAUUCUACCACUAUGAUCUAUAUUUUGUUCACCAUUAGUUUCAUGAUGGUUUCAAUAAUUACAUCUUUCAACCUUUUUUGUGUGGCUAGCACUAUACUAAAAUACAAAGAAGUUUAAGUCAGAGUGUCCUACUUCUAGGGACUUAAAGAUCUAUUAAGGGGUCAAGAGAGACAUUAGGAACAGCCAAGAGACAAUGCAAAGCAGAGUAUAAUUAAUCAUCAAAAUGAGAGAUGUUGGUUAUAAGGGCAAAAGAAGUGCAGGAUACGGAAGACAAUGUGGACGAGAGAUAUUAUGGAAGAUAUUAGAAAACAGUAAGAAGUUAGUUCUCAUAGGGUAGGCUGGAUUGACAAAUGUGAAAGCAAGAGGGAAAGGUAUUUCUUCCAGGUAUCUGGUCAGCAUGAGCAAUGGCUUGGAGUUGGGAAUGAGCAUGAUAUGACUAAGAACAGUAGAAGCAGAGCAUGAAAAGAAUGGUCAUGGAGCUUAGAUGAAUCCAUGCAGGUAAGUAUCUCCUUAAGGUGUGUUGGUUGGUGAUUUUAUUUUCUCUAAUGAUAAAGGAGGGGAACUUUACACUUUUACAGAACAAUAACAACCAUGAUUUAGUUUAAGUUUGUACUGUGCAUUUUAAGUAAUUGUAGGAAUAUGACAGGAUGACCAAAACUGCCCCUCCCUUUAGGGUUGUUGGGUUACAAUGUGGUCUUUCCCUCUUUCCCCCUACAGUUUUGGAAGGCAGUGAGAGAACCAGCCUGGAACAGUGGGCUGCUGCAUUUGCAGGUUGGAUGAAGGCAGAUGCUUGGGCCCAUUGAUAAUGUUUGCCUUCUGUUAUUUGAGUUUUCCUCUGACUCCCUCCCGGAAAGUAAGGCGCUAUUCACCCAAAGAAUGAAAGCCCCUUUACUAUCAUUGUAAAGACAGAAUUGGCUGCUGCAUCUAUAGAGAAGUGCUUAGUAUACCAUAUAUGUGCAACUUUGGAGUUCGUGCUACUUUCAGUUGAGCCCCAGUUUUCUAUCUGUUCAAUAACUGGAAAUUUCCUGCGAGUGUGGCUUAUCAUUAUCAUGUUUUAGUGACAGCGAGGAGCCUGCAUCACAGAGCCUUGUUGUUUUAAUGCUCCAGGUUGCUUCUGCUAACCCUCUGAGGAGUAAGACGGUGGAAUGCAAAGGUUACUGGUGCUCUCUGGGGUCAGAGUGCACACAGGGCUAGUAUUGAUCAUCUCCCUGGUUCCUACCCUACUCUGGGGAAGUUUAACAGUCACAGUAGCCACUGCAAAGCUACAUAAAGGUUUCAACAUCAACUUUCCAAAGCUUAAAAAAGGCAGGCAGGGCUGUAUUUCUCUCUCUCUUCAUAGUGCUCAUCAUUUAUAAAUCUUUCACUCUG